rnacentral:rRNA from 1 species
CCUACGGGAGGCAGCAGUGAGGAAUAUUGGUCAAUGGGGGCAACCCUGACCCAGCCAUGCCGCGUGAGUGAAGAAGGUCUUCGGAUUGUAAAGCUCUUUCGGACGUGACGAUGAUGUCGGUUGCGUCUAAAGAAGCACCGGCAAAAAUCGUGCCAGCAGCCGCGGUAAUACGACGGGUGCGAGCGUUGUUCGGAAUUAAUGGGCGGAAAGGGAGUGGAGGUGGAUAUGUAAGAUAGCGGUGAAAUGCCGGGGCUCAAACCAGGAAAUGCCAUUAUGACUAUGUAUCUAGAGUAAUGGAGAGGAUAGCGGAAUACCAAGUGUAGAGGUGAAAUUCGUAGAUAUUGGGUAGAACACCGGUGGCGAAGGCGGCUAUCUGGCCAUUUACUGACGCUGAGGCUCGAAAGCAUGGGGAUCAAACAGGAUUAGAUACCCUGGUAGUC